rnacentral:rRNA from 1 species
CUUUACUAUAGCUUGACACUGAACAUUGAGCCUUGAUGUGUAGGAUAGGUGGGAGGCUUUGAAGUGUGGACGCCAGUCUGCAUGGAGCCGACCUUGAAAUACCACCCUUUAAUGUUUGAUGUUCUAACGUUGACCCGUAAUCCGGGUUGCGGACAGUGUCUGGUGGGUAGUUUGACUGGGGCGGUCUCCUCCUAAAGAGUAACGGAGGAGCACGAAGGUUGGCUAAUCCUGGUCGGACAUCAGGAGGUUAGUGCAAUGGCAUAAGCCAGCUUGACUGCGAGCGUGACGGCGCGAGCAGGUGCGAAAGCAGGUCAUAGUGAUCCGGUGGUUCUGAAUGGAAGGGCCAUCGCUCAACGGAUAAAAGGUACUCCGGGGAUAACAGGCUGAUACCGCCCAAGAGUUCAUAUCGACGGCGGUGUUUGGCACCUCGAUGUCGGCUCAUCACAUCCUGGGGCUGAAGUAGGUCCCAAGGGUAUGGCUGUUCGCCAUUUAAAGUGGUACGCGAGCUGGGUUUAGAACGUCGUGAGACAGUUCGGUCCCUAUCUGCCGUGGGCGCUGGAGAACUGAGGGGGGCUGCUCCUAGUACGAGAGGACCGGAGUGGACGCAUCACUGGUGUUCGGGUUGUCAUGCCAAUGGCACUGCCCGGUAGCUAAAUGCGGAAGAGAUAAGUGCUGAAAGCAUCUAAGCACGAAACUUGCCCCGAGAUGAGUUCUCCCUGACUCCUUGAGAGUCCUGAAGGAACGUUGAAGACGACGACGUUGAUAGGCCGGGUGUGUAAGCGCAGCGAUGCGUUGAGCUAACCGGUACUAAUGAACCGUGAGGCUUAACCUU